rnacentral:sRNA from 1 species
UCGCAAUAAGGAUUGCAAUGGAAAUCCUUUUUUAGAAACUGAGGUAUCGAAGUUGCUAAUAAAAGAUUGAAAUGAAAAGCCUGACCCGUA